rnacentral:rRNA from 1 species
UACAGAGGUCCCAAGCGUUGUUCGGAUUCACUGGGCGUAAAGGGUGCGUAGGUGGUCGGGUAAGUCUGAUGUGAAAUCUCCGAGCUCAACUCGGAAAUGGCAUUGGAUACUAUUCGGCUAGAGGGUUGGAGGGGGGACUGGAAUUCUCGGUGUAGCAGUGAAAUGCGUAGAUAUCGAGAGGAACACCAGUGGCGAAGGCGAGUCCCUGGACAACUCCUGACACUGAGGCACGAAAGCCAGGGGAGCGAAUGGG